rnacentral:rRNA from 1 species
UCCUACGGGGGGCAGCAGUGGGGGAUAUUGGACAAUGGGGGAAACCCUGAUCCAGCGAUGCCGCGUGAGGGAAGAAGGUUUUCGGAUUGUAAACCUCUGUGGAGGGGGACGAUAAUGACGGUACCCCUUUAGGAAGCCACGGCUAACUACGUGCCAGCAGCCGCGGUAAUACGUAGGUGGCGAGCGUUGUCCGGAAUUACUGGGUGUAAAGGGAGUGUAGGCGGGAAAGCAAGUCAGAAGUGAAAGCUAUGGGCUUAACCCCCAAACUGCUUUUGGAACUGCGUGUCUUGAGUGAUGGAGAGGCG